rnacentral:hammerhead_ribozyme from 1 species
UGUCGAAACGCUCAUUAUGAGCGUCUCGGAGGAAUGGCUUUCUCCGACUGAUGAUGACAGGCCACA